AUGGCUCAGGACGAACGCUGGCGGCGUGCUUCAUACAUGCAAGUCGAACGAGAAUCUCUAGCUUGCUAGAGAGGAAAGUGGCGGACGGGUGAGUAAUAUGUAGAGAAUCUGCCCUGGAGAGGGGGACAACAGAGGGAAACUUCUGCUAAUACCCCAUAUGCGCGUAGUUGCGAUACUAUUCGUGAAAGAUUUAUCGCUCCAGGAUGAGUCUGCAUCUGAUUAGCUAGUUGGGGGUGUAAUGGACCACCAAGGCGACGAUCAGUAGCUGGUUUGAGAGGAUGAUCAGCCACAAUGGGACUGAGACACGGCCCAUACUCCUACGGGAGGCAGCAGUAGGGAAUUUUGCGCAAUGGGCGAAAGCCUGACGCAGCCAACGCCGCGUGAUCGUAGACGCCCUUCGGGGUGUAAAGAUCUGUCAGUAGGGACGAACAAUGACUGUACCUACAGAGGAAGCACCGGCUAACUCCGUGCCAGCAGCUGC
rnacentral:rRNA from 1 species